CGGGGGAUGCCUAGGCUCUCAGAGGCGAAGAAGGACGUGAUAAGCUGCGAAAAGCUGCGGGGAUUGGCACAUACGAAAUGAUCCGCAGAUGUCCGAAUGGGGCAACCCACUAUACUGAAGGUAUAGUAUGCCGAAAGGUAAGCGAACCCGGUGAACUGAAACAUCUAAGUAGCCGGAGGAGGAGAAAACAAUAGUGAUUCCGAGAGUAGUGGCAAGC
rnacentral:rRNA from 1 species